AUUGAACGCUGGCGGCAUGCCUUACACAUGCAAGUCGAACGGUAACAGGUCUUCGGAUGCUGACGAGUGGCGAACGGGUGAGUAAUACAUCGGAACGUGCCUAGUAGUGGGGGAUAACUACUCGAAAGAGUGGCUAAUACCGCAUGAGAUCUACGGAUGAAAGCAGGGGAUCGCAAGACCUUGUGCUACUAGAGCGGCCGAUGGCAGAUUAGGUAGUUGGUGGGAUAAAAGCUUACCAAGCCGACGAUCUGUAGCUGGUGUGAGAGGACGAUCAGCCACACUGGGACUGAGACACGGCCCAGACUCCUACGGGAGACAGCAGUGGCGAAUUUUGGACAAUGGGCGCAGGCCUGAUUCAGCAAUGCCGCGUGCAGGAUGAAGGCCUUCGGGUUGUAAACUGCUUUUGUACGGAACGAAAAGCCCUGGGUUAAUACCCUGGGGUCAUGACGGUACCGUAAGAAUAAGCACCGGCUAACUACGUGCCAGCAGCCGCGGUAACAC
rnacentral:rRNA from 1 species